GACGAACGCUGGCGGCGUGCCUAACACAUGCAAGUCGAGCGGGGAGGAGAAAGCUUGCUUUCGAAUCCUAGCGGCGGACGGGUGAGUAACGCGUGAGCAACCUGCCUCUUACAGGGGGAUAACGCAUCGAAAGAUGUGCUAAUACCGCGUAAGACCACAGCAUCACAUGGUGCAGGGGUCAAAGGAGCAAUCCGGUAAGAGAUGGGGCUCGCGUCCGAUUAGCUAGUUGGCGGGAUAACAGCCCACCAAGGCGACGAUCGGUAGCCGACCUGAGAGGGUGAUCGGCCACGAUUGGAACUGAGAUACGGUCCAGACUCCUACGGGAGGCAGCAGUGGGGAAUAUUGGGCAAUGGGCGAAAGCCUGACCCAGCAACGCCGCGUGAGGGAAGAAGGGUUUCGGAUUGUAAACCUUUGUCAACAGGGACGAAACAAAUGACGGUACC
rnacentral:rRNA from 1 species